rnacentral:lncRNA from 1 species
GGAGGGAAAUCAACUGGAACCUGUCAAUUUGAGCUCUGUUCUGAUGGUGAAGAUUUACUCAGCCAAGUAGCUGGUUUUCUUUUACAGCUUUCAUGGGUCACAGCUGUACCUGGCCCUGUGAAUAGCCAGUGGGGCUUGGCAGAACCCCCUGUCUGAUCAGGAGGAAAAAAUCCUGAACACAUUAAGGAUUUUAACUAUCCCAGACAUUUCAUUUUACCUAAAUCGCUAUUCACCUUGAGGGACUCAGAGCUGAGCAUCCAGCCAAACAAAAGGAUAGAGCUUUACAACACUGCCACUCUCACUGUAUCAAGGUACUGACUAUGGCAUAAA